rnacentral:rRNA from 1 species
AGGCCUGCCGCAGCAACGCCGCGUGAGUGAUGAAGGCUUUCGGGUCGUAAAGCUCUGUCUAGAGGGAAGAAAUGAUUUUCGGUUAAUACCCGGAUUUCUUGACGGUACCUCUGAAGGAAGCACCGGCUAACUCCGUGCCAGCAGCCGCGGUAAUACGGAGGGUGCAAGCGUUGUUCGGAUUUAUUGGGCGUAAAGCGCGUGUAGGCGGUUUGUUAAGUCUGAUGUGAAAGCCCUGGGCUCAACCUGGGAAGUGCAUUGGAAACUGGCAGACUUGAAUACGGGAGAGGGUAGUGGAAUUCCUAGUGUAGGAGUGAAAUCCGUAGAUAUUAGGAGGAACACCGGUGGCGAAGGCGGCUACCUGGACCGAUAUUGACGCUGAGACGCGAAAGCGUGGGGAGCAAACAGGAUUAGAUACCCUGGUAGUCCACGCCGUAAACGAUGAGUACUAGGUGUUG